rnacentral:rRNA from 1 species
UACGUAGGGUGCAAGCGUUGUCCGGAAUUAUUGGGCGUAAAGAGCUCGUAGGCGGUUUGUCGCGUCUGCUGUGAAAACUCGGGGCUUAGCCCCGGGCCUGCAGUGGGUACGGGCAGACUAGAGUGCGGUAGGGGAGACUGGAAUUCCUGGUGUAGCGGUGAAAUGCGCAGAUAUCAGGAGGAACACCGAUGGCGAAGGCAGGUCUCUGGGCCACUACUGACGCUGAGAAGCGAAAGCAUGGGGAGCGAACAGG